rnacentral:rRNA from 1 species
GAUGAACGCUGGCGGCGUGCCUAAUACAUGCAAGUCGAGCGAACGGACGAGAAGCUUGCUUUUCUGAUGUUAGCGGCGGACGGGUGAGUAACACGUGGAUAACCUACCUAUAAGACUGGGAUAACUUCGGGAAACCGGAGCUAAUACCGGAUAAUAUUUUGAACCGCAUGGUUCAAAAGUGAAAGACGGUCUUGCUGUCACUUAUAGAUGGAUCCGCGCUGCAUUAGCUAGUUGGUAAGGUAACGGCUUACCAAGGCAACGAUGCAUAGCCGACCUGAGAGGGUGAUAGGCCACAUUGGAACUGAGACGCGGACCUGACUACUGCGGGAGGCAGCAGUAGGGAAUCGUCCGCAAUGGGCGAGAGCCUGACGGAGCAACGCGACGUGAGUGAUGAAGGUCUUCGGAUCGUAAAAAUCUGUUAUUAGGGAAGAACAUAUGUGUAAGUAACUGUGCACAUCUUGACGGUACCUAAUCAGAAAGCCACGGCUAACUACGUG